rnacentral:sRNA from 1 species
GUCGUGAGAUGUUGGGUUAAGUCCCGCAACGAGCGCAACCCUUGUCCUAUGUUGCCAGCGGGUAAUGCCGGGGACUCGUAGGAGACUGCCGGGGUCAACUCGGAGGAAGGUGGGGACGACGUCAAGUCAUCAUGCCCCUUAUAUCCAGGGCUGCAAACAUGCUACAAUGGCCGGUACAAAGGGCUGCUAUACCGCGAGGUGGAGCGAAUCCCAUAAAGCCGGUCUCAGUUCGGAUUGGAGUCUGCAACUCGACUCCAUGAAGCCGGAGUCGCUAGUAAUCCCGGAUCAGCAACGCCGGGGUGAAUACGUUCCCGGGCCUUGUACACACCGCCCGUCACACCACGAAAGUUGGCAACACCCGAAGCCAGUGGCCCAACCCUUUGGGAGGGAGCUGUCGAAGGUGGGGUCAGCGAUUGGGGUGAAGUCGUAACAAGGUAGCCGUACCGGAAGGUGCGGCUGGAUCACCUCCUUUCUAAGGAGUCCAAUCCUUCCCUUCUGGGAAGGGGAUUCCCAGUUGAAGCAUUCGCUAGUUGGGUCGUCUGUCGCAGUGUCGUGGUCGUAGGUGUUUCCUCCCACUUCACCGCAGCAGGUGAUCGUUCCGUCCUCUGUUCCGCUCUGAAGGAGCGCCCCCCGAGGCCCCGGCCAGGUUCAUCCUGGCGGGGGCCUUGUUGCGCUCUGGAGCCGGCCUCGCGCCGCCACUCCGAUCGGCCCCUUGAGAACUGCAUAGCGAGCACGAGCAUCUUUGUUAUUCCAAGCUACAAAGAGCCAACGGUGGAUGCCUUGGCGUCUACUACCGAUGAAGGACGUGUCUGGCUGCGAUAAGCCACGGGGAGCUGCCGAGAGAGCUUUGAUCCGUGGAUGU